CAUAUUAUUAGCGAAUAGCGCUCAGAUCCCACACACAUAGUUCAAUCGCCAUGGAGUCAAAGUUCGGUAUACAAAUGACUCCAUGGGAAGGCUAUCUGGGUUAAGUCCUUUUGUAUGCUUCAAACCUCCUGAACGACUGGUAUUCAUAUGCUUUCGUGGAGGCAGCCAGGCGUUCCGUUGUUUCAGCGGUGUUCGGCAGGAAAAGUGUCAGUUUUUAGUUCCAUAGAAAUAGAGCCAAACACCGCUGGGCUUUCGCGUGGUUUUAAAAUGGCCGCUGCCUUGUGGUCGACAUACAAACGACGACCACCCUGAAUUCAUUUAAUUGAGAAGUGUCUGCGGUUAACCACAACGUUGGGAUCAAUAGGUUAACCAGCAGCACACUUCUCUCCUGGGUGGUGUAAGGAAGUGAAAUGGUUAACUCUUUUUGCUUUAUAUGCUUUAAAAUAAUGUUUGAAAUAAUUAUGCUGAC